rnacentral:misc_RNA from 1 species
AAGUCGUAACAAGGUUUCCGUAGGUGAACCUGCGGAAGGAUCAUCAACAAAUCUAUUAAAAAAAAGGUUUGGAUAAAACCUACCUUUUUUUUUAACCAAUGUGAAUAGGAAAAAGAUUUUAUAUCUUUUUUCGAAAUAUUAACGAGUAAAAAAAGAGUCUGUAAAAAAAAAAAUAUAUAUAAUUUUUUUAUGACUUUUAACAAUGGAUCUCUUGGCUCUU